CACUUAUGAAAAAAAAACUGUACAUGCUCUAAAGCCAGAGCUCUUUCAUUCAAUGGUACUCACAUAUUUUGCUCUGCUCUAAAUUUACCAAAAUGCAUGGUCAUGAGCAUUCUCCCACAGAGUGGAUUUGCAUACCUGGGUGUUCAGGCAACGGCUCAGUACCCUGUGUAUGGGUUCCUGCAGUCAGGCAUAAAGAAAGGAAUUAAAGAGUAAGGGUUAUGUGCUGUUUGUUUGGUCUUUUGCUCUUUCCCUGUGUAAGGUUCUGCUUGGUGGGUGGAAAGAAGAAGGCAGAGAAAGAAGACAUGAGAAUGUGGAGAACAGGCUCGUCACAGAUUGUGCGUAACCUCCUUCCCUCCAGAUCCCUGGUCAUCCCUGUCUGCUACUCCAAGAACUUGUAGAAAGAUCUUCAGUUCCAUUGUGAGUCAGCUUCCCUGCAGCAGUGGCUGGAGCAGUCAGCUUGCUCUCAUCAGCAAAGCAGACCAUGAUGGAGGCAGCCAGAACUGCACACUUUGGCCUUCCAGCAAGGUGCAUUCCUGGGAGACUGAAGUUUGGCCCUUGGGGCUGGAAUGGAAGGUACCAAAUCCUCACCUGGGAUUUCCAUCUGCAUCGCUGUCCUCAGCAACUGCUCAGAGGCCCACCAGAAGGUGGGCUCCACAGGAGGACUCACAUAACCUCCUUGGUGAGAUCACAUAAGGUGGCCACAUCAUGGGUGCCUGGUACUGCAGGCUCUGCUGAAUCUGUCUGCAAGAAUUCCUCAGCCCAGCCCUGCUGUUGAAGAAGCCACUUUAGAGAACUGACUCUACACAAUUUGCUAAAAACAACCAAGAGAUUUUUCAAGCGUCCUUUCCAAAAUUGUUAUUUUUCAUUGUCCAAAGGUAAAAAAGCUCAUUUAUGAGGAAAAAAAAUAAAAAUUACCAUGUUAUGUGUGAGCAGGCCAUUUGUGGAGCCGGGCUAAGCUGGGAAAAGUGCCCCUUUCACCCUUGGCAGUGUGUUUAAGCUUGCCUUUCGGCUGUGAACGAGAGGAGCGGGCUGGUGUCUCCCUGGUCCUGAAGAAGCAGGAUUUCAUAUGUCAAAGAGCCACACUCAGAUGAAGGCAAUCGGAAGUAACUGCUCAGAAGAAGAUGCCCAAGAGUAAGUUGCCAUGGAGAUGGAAAGGCUAAACACCACUGUACUCCUGACCUCGAAAGAGGCUGAUUUCUCCACAUGACAGCUGAGGUCGUGGGGGCAUGGUGGGAAGCUCACCCUGCCGGCUCCAGCUCUGCCUCUAGCCUAUGGAUAAGUAAAGAAUUAGUGCUUUACUACUUUAGGUAGUCCAUUAACCUUCACAAGCCUGAACUUUCAUUCAAAUAAUUGCAAAAUAAGUAUAGGUGGUGAAACCUGAACAGAAUCACUGCUAUUUGUAUGGCCUUUGGAAAGUUUAGGGACCCAACCCUUAGCGUGGAUCCACUGGUAUUUUAAACAGUGAGGUAUCUUUCUUAGCUUCUUGCUGUAAUUAGAAAAAGUUAAAGCCCAGAAUUACCAGCAAAACCAGGAAAUCAUUCAGUGACUGGCAGCCAAUGAAUGGAUGGUCCUUCAUUGGUGGUGGGGCUUUGUGUUCCCUGGGGAGAUUACCAUCUCUUUUAAACUUCUUGCUUUAUGAUGAGUUCUUUUAGCUAUAAAUUCAUUCCACAGGGUCCAUUAGAAUAACCCACCAUGUGUCAGCUUUGAUAGACCUCACCCAGGAACAAUCAUAAAGACAGAAGGGUGGCAAGCUCCUGCUUCAUAUCCCCGUAACCCAUAGCCUCCCUCUGUGCACAUGACUCCCACAGAUGCAGUAAAACCUGAUUUAAGUGCCAGCAGAGAGAGACUGGUAAGUACAGAUUGUCUGACAGAAUUGAUCUUCCACUCGAGGUAAAUAACAGGGCUUUUUUCAAAACCUCAGCACUACUUCAAAGUGGCUGUAUCUUAAGAUACAGCUUAUUGUGGGUGAGGUUAGUGGUGCAAGUUCAGGCACAGGUAAAUGGCUGGUUGCAGAACCAAAAUUACUUCAGAAAUAAGUGCUUACUGGUGUUAUUUUGAGCAGUAGCUUGUUGUAGACUGUUCUAAAUGCCAGAAGCUGUUAAAUGUUAUUGUGAUUUUGUGAAGUGGACCCUGCAUUAGGAAGAAAUAGCUUUUGUGAAAAGUACCACUUAGAGCUAGAAAUACUUUUCAGCAAAAACAACUUCAAGCCUUUUUUAAAUUGCAGACAGCUCUAUGACAAUAAAUUCAGAGAAAUUUUUUGAAUUCAGUGAAGUUCUUACAGCAGAGGAGAUGGGGAAGUCUAGAAAAAUAAAUGUGAUGGCUACAGCUUUUAUUCUUAUUUUAUUUAUUACUUUUUAUUUUAUUUAGGAGGUCAGCCCACUGUGAGUACAUCUCAUCAAAGUCCUAUCUACAUAAAUCUUGAUGUGUUCCAAAGUCCCAAGUCUUAUCUUAAAUAUCCUGACAGAGUUAGGGUCUUCCUGCUCUAUAGGAACAGUGCAGUUAAUAGUACUUGGCUCAAUAGUGACCUGAUUGAGACCUUAAUUUUUAAUCCUAUUAAAAUUAUCAGCACAGUGUCUAUCUCACUGAGGCCAAAGCAGCAGUAAAAAACCCCAUACAAUACUCCUGUACUUGGAGAGAUGCAAUGGAGUAGCAAAAUGGCAUAAGACUCCUUGCUUGGCUGCUGAGGUGAUGCAGACUUGCAGUACUUAAAAUACACUUGCCUCAGUAGUGACAUUCCUUAAAAUAAAUGCAAAGCUUCCUCAUGAAGUAAGAAUCAACCCCACAGAAAAUGGAAGUGUCUGGAAAUUAUGCAAAUAGUAACUAUGCUGGGAAUACUUUGAUAACCCUGCUCCAUUGUAUUGGAUCAUGCAGCUGUCAUGUCUACAGACGUCAAAUUAAUUUCUGAAACUUUGUAGCUACAGGAGAAUGUUUCCUGGUGUCAGCAUUACCAAUAUUAUUAAUUUUUUUCCGACAGCUUGAAGCGGAACUUGGCACCAUGUUUCUUGGCCUCUCCAAAUCUGGAUUACAAUGGAU
rnacentral:lncRNA from 1 species